rnacentral:piRNA from 2 species
UACACAACAUUCACCAGAGCUCUUAA